GUCCGCGUGACGAUAAAACUUUUGCUGCAAAGUUCAGUCAGUGAAAGCUGCUGUUAUGCCUUCUCUGAUUGGUCGAGCGGCAUUCUGUGUUCAGAACACGUUCACGUUCAGCGCCGUUGUGCCGUCUCUGCUUAUGGAAAGUUGGAAACUAACUUUAAAACCCACAAUUAUUGACUUUCUAAAAGCCACGCUUUUUAAUUAUGAUUCUUCAUAACCAUCUCCAAGUUUUCCGUUUUAUGGCUGUCGACAGCCAGAUCCUUUUCAGCAUUUGCGUGAAAAGUGAUGGUGCGGGCAUUCUGUGCCGUAACGCUGCUAGACGCAGCACGUCUAUGGAAGAACACGCAAGAGCGCGUUCUUGUCUGCGAUGCUGCAAGGAACCCUCGAGUUCUGUAAUGAUUCUACGGUCAUUGGAACAUGUUGCACAGCGGGAAGAUUGUGCAUGACGACAUGCAGUAGGACUGCAGGAUCGAUGAAUGAAUUCUCUGUUUCGUCGGCUUCCGGAAAGCAGUAUCGCCGUGAAACGCAUGGAUGUCGACAUCCAAAAUUUAUAACUGAAUGCCACAUGUUACCUUUUAUUGAUUUUAUGCUGAGCUGCUAAAA